ACGCGGGGAAUCUUACCGGGUCCGGACACACUGAGGAUUGACAGACAGUUGUCUUUCCCUCCCUUCGGGGUGGGAUUACAAAAGAUAACAGAUCUUUCAUGAUCAUGUGAUGGGUGGUGCAUGGCCGUUCUUAGUUCGUGGAGUGAUCUGUCUGCUUAAUUGCGUUUCAAAUUUUAUAUUUGUUAACAUGCGAGUCUUCAAUGACGGCCACUCCACCUUAUAGACAUUAUAUGAUAUGCACAUUUGUGUAUUUGAUUAUAACUUGUCUGGAGUCUGGCUCGAUUUUUUUGACUCAAUUGAACGCAACGGACGUGAUUGCAAGUCCUUGUUGAACAAAUUAUAUAUAUACUACUUCAUCAUUAGUAUAUAUAGUUCGCUUCUCAUGUCGUAGCAGUCAAACGGGCGGGCGUCUUAAUUGGCGCGGUCACGAGGCUUAAUAUGCUGCGGCUGGGAAAACUUGGGCGACCGCUGUAAUACUUCUCUCUUAAACCAGAGGAAGAUUGCGGCAAUAACAGGUCUGUGAUGCCCUCAGAUGUCCCGGGCCGCACACGUGCUACAUUGAUUAGCGCAGUGCGCAUACUUACAUAUAGAUCAUUGAUUGGUUAUUUAUAACCGUCAAUAUCGCCUUGUCUGAAAGGACUAGGUAAUCUAUUGUAAGUGCUGGUUCCUCCUCCCGUUGAGCAUUUUAAUAAUGGUCUCUCUACAUCCCUAGCACAUGAUGUCUAGUGCGAUUGUAGUUGAGUUCUGCCAUUUAUGC
rnacentral:rRNA from 1 species